AGAAUCUCCAUAUGGGGUCAUCGCGAAGAUUGAGUAAGUUACAUAAAGUGCUAGUUCCCCACAGGGCAGGGCCUGCUGCCACGGUUCUCUUCCCCCAGCCUUGGAGGGCGAGGGGGAAGCAGUAAGUGCUGUGGUGCCACCUCGUCAUCAGAAAGAACAUGAACGACUCCAGAGACUUGUCCCAAGGGGCUAUCCCAAGGCCGUGCUGCUGCCGCCCCAGUCUGCUGCGUGUGAGAGCUCCGUGCUCAGGGAGCCCGACUCACCUGGAACCCGUCUGCCUCCUCUGCUGUCUGGGAAGCACAGCGGGCUUUCGCCAGCCUUUCAGUUCUCCUUUCUGCCUAUAGCACUUUAAUGACAACAGCAGCAGCAGCAGCUAACACAGUGCGUGCUGUCAUGUGUCAGACACUGUCCUGAGAGGUACUAUUCUUAUUUCAAUUUUACAAAUGAGGAAAUUCCAUCUGAAUCCAGAAUCUUCCAUCCUAACUGUGACACUGGACUGGCUCCUGUUUGAGAACAGGCGAGUUUGGGCUGGAAAAGGCCUUUCAUCACAGAAAGCAAUGCAACAUCGCUCAGCCUGACUCAUUCAUCAUCCACCUUUCCUCAGCCCAGGAGUGGCCCAUGUGAGAACCACCUGCAGCAGGAUGUUUAAGAGCUGAGGUGAGAGUCAAGAAAUGGGCUGUGGGUUUGCCACCACUCCCAGCCUUCUCCGGUCAAACUCCUGCACAGCCUGGAGGAGGAGGGUGGAGGAUGAGGCACUCAAAAAAACAAAAACAAAAACAAAAGCAAAACAGUGGUAAAAGAAAACGCUAGUCACUCUCCAGCGUAGCAGACUGCAACACCACCACGCCUGAUUAAGGAAUGACAAUAUGGAAGGCAGAUGGCAGAUGCAUCGAUGCCACAUUAUUGCUUUUCAGUGAAAUAUUGCUUGGGGUUUUUUUUUUCUUCUUCUUCUUGUAAACCUCCCAAAUAAAAUGGUUUGCUUUCCUCAA